AAAUCCCUCCCAUAAUGCACCUCCGCCUCCUCCGAUGGCCCACCUCACCAUCCAACAUGCCGUGGCAGGGUGCGGCUUCUCCAUCCAAUCUUUUCCAUCCGUGCCUCUGUCUCCUCCGGCUAUCCCUUGUAUCUCGCCAAUAUCUUAGGUCCCAUGGCUAGGGUUUUUUGUGUUCUUCCCCUCCCUUUCUUUCUUCUCUACCACCGCUGUUCUGAAGACUACCGAGGCUAAGUUUGACACUUCGAUCGGGCUUACCGCUUGUCGAAGGUG
rnacentral:lncRNA from 1 species